ACGCUCGACACCUACGGGAGGCAGCAGUGGGGAAUAUUGCACAAUGGGGGAAACCCUGAUGCAGCGAUGCCGCGUGAAGGAAGAAGUAUCUCGGUAUGUAAACUUCUAUCAGCAGGGAAGAAAAUGACGGUACCUGACUAAGAAGCCCCGGCUAACUACGUGCAAGCAGCCGCGGUAAUCUGAGCGGCUGGCAAGGC
rnacentral:rRNA from 1 species